CCAGAGACCUCCCUGCUGUCCAGUACCAGAGAGAAGAAGGUCAUCUUCCACCCCACCUCCAUCCUCAGCCCCGCCCACAACAAGGAGACUGACUUGGUGCGGUCCCCCAGGACUCUGCCCAGUGAUUGGCUGAUCUACAAUGAGAUGAGUCGAGGUCAAAGGGUGGCGAGCGUUCGCUGCUGCUCUGUGGUUACGCCCAUCACUGUGGCCAUCUUUGGAGGCUGUUCAAGACUGCCUGACUCCGCCUUCCAGGAUCCUGCUGGUCACCGAGACACAGACGCUCCCCUGGAUGAGGUCAGUGACAGUGAGGUGGAGGACUGGCU